UACGAAGGGGGCUAGCGUUGCUCGGAAUCACUGGGCGUAAAGCGCACGUAGGCGGACUCUUAAGUCAGGGGUGAAAUCCUGGAGCUCAACUCCAGAACUACCUUUGAUACUGGGAGUCUUGAGUUCGGGAGAGGUGAGUGGAACUGCGAGUGUAGAGGUGAAAUUCGUAGAUAUUCGCAAGAACACCAGUGGCGAAGGCGGCUCACUGGCCCGAUACUGACGCUGAGGUGCGAAAGCGUGGGGAGCAAACAGG
rnacentral:rRNA from 1 species